rnacentral:rRNA from 1 species
UUUUUAAUUAGGAUCUUGUAUGAAUGGUUGGACGAGAGAAAGACUGUCUUUGUAUUAUAAUUUGAAUUUAACUUUUAAGUGAGAAGGCUUAAAUAAACUAAGGGGACGAUAAGACCCUAUAAAACUUUACAUAAAAGCUAUAUUUAAUUUAAUUUUUUUAUAAAAAUUUAAUUUAGUUAUUGUUUUAUUGGGGAGAUAAGAGUAUAAAUUUAUAUUAACUGCUAAGGAUUUAAACAACUAUUGGUGAAUAAAUUAUAGAUCCAUUAUUAUGAUUUAAAGAGUAAGUUACUUUAGGGAUAACAGCGUUAUUUUUUUUGAGAGUUCAUAUCGAAAAAGAAGUUUGCGACCUCGAUGUUGAAUUAAAUUAUCUAUAUAAUGUAGAUGUUAUAUGAGAAGGUCUGUUCGACCUUUAAAAAUUUA